rnacentral:rRNA from 1 species
UCGAGGAUCUUCGUCAAUGGGCGCAAGCCUGAACGAGCGACGCCGCGUGCGCGAUGAAGGCCUUCGGGUUGUAAAGCGCGAAAGAGGGAAGAAAGCGAAAGUUGAUCGACCCUCAGUAAGGACGGGCUAAGUUCGUGCCAGCAGCCGCGGUAAGACGAACUGUCCUAACGUUGUUCGGAAUCACUGGGCUUAAAGGGCGCGUAGGCGGUCUGGUAAGUCGGGGGUGAAAUCCUGCAGCUCAACUGUAGAAGUGCCUUCGAUACUGCCAGUCUGGAGGGAGAUAGGGGUGUGUGGAACUUCCAGUGGAGCGGUGAAAUGCGUUGAUAUUGGAAGGAACGCCGGAGGCGAAAGCGACGCACUGGAUCUCUUCUGACGCUGAGGCGCGAAAGCUAGGGGAGCAAACGG